CCUACGGGAGGCAGCAGUGAGGAAUAUUGGUCAAUGGACGAGAGUCUGAACCAGCCAAGUAGCGUGAAGGAUGACUGCCCUAUGGGUUGUAAACUUCUGUUAUAAAGGAAUAAAACGAGGCACGUGUGCCUUUUUGCAUGUACUGUAUGAAUAAAGAUCGGCUAACUCCGUGCCAGCAGCCGCGGUAAUACGGAGGAUCCGAGCGUUAUCCGGAUUUAUUGGGGUUAAAGGGAGCGUAGAUGGGUUGUUAAGUCAGUUGUGAAAGUUUGCGGCUCAACCGUAAAAUUGCAAUUGAUACUGGCAGUCUUGAUUACAGUUGAGGUAGGCGGAAUUCGUGGUGUAGCGGUGCACUGCUUAGAUAUCACGAAGAACCCCGAUUGCGACGGCAGCUUACUAAACUGUGCCUGACAUUGAUGCUCGACAGUGUGGGUAUCAAACAGGAUUAGCUACCCGUGUAGUC
rnacentral:rRNA from 1 species